GGAGGGUGCUAGCGUUGUUCGGAAUUAUUGGGCGUAAAGCGCGUGUAGGCGGUCUGUUAAGUCUGUUGUGAAAGCCCUGGGCUCAACCCAGGAAGUGCACUGGAUACUGGAAGACUUGAAUACGGGAGAGGGUAGUGGAAUUCCUGGUGUAAGAGUGAAAUCCGUAGAUAUCAGGAGGAACACCGGUGGCGAAGGCGGCUACCUGGACCGAUAUUGACGCUGAGACGCGAAAGCGUGGGUAGCAAACAGGAUUAGAUACCCUGGUAGUCCACGCCGUAAACGAUGAGUACUAGGUGUUGCGGGUAUUGACCCCUGCAGUGCCGCACCUAACGCAUUAAGUACUCCGCCUGGGAAGUACGGUCGCAAAACUA
rnacentral:rRNA from 1 species